rnacentral:lncRNA from 1 species
AGGUUUGUGCAGGCGGUACAUUUUGUCUUUGCCUUUAUUUUCAACACCUAAAUUAGAACACCCCUAUAAUGAGAAUGCAACAUGCCAUUCAGUUGUGUUUAGCCAUUUUGAUAAGUAUUCAACCAGUCACUCAAGUUACUUUGCAACAAAGAGGUGCUGCUUAGUGUGCAUACGCUGGUGUGUGGUGUAGGAUAAUCAAGUAUGAUUCAAUGUCAAAUUGUAAUGUUGAUAAGGAAUUUGUGGACUUGGUCUAAUCGUUCUUACCCGAUUACUGCUUUACACUUUGUUACUUGGGGUUACUGGCUAGUGAUGCAACUCAACUGAUCAUUCCUGCGGGACAAAAGAUUAACACAAGUUGUCUAUGUACGAAAAUUCAAACUUAUUUUAACAUAUUUUAUUUUAUUUUUUUUAUUUAUUGAAAAACUUCAUGUAACCAUCUGACUAGGGCCAGCUCUUCGGAACAUUUUGUCACUUCCCAAUUGUCGACCGAAUCUGGGACUAUAGGAGGAGGAUCGGAGGAGGUUUGCCUACAGGAGCAGCAGAUCUUAUAAUUAUAGGCCUAUUUCUAAUGAUUAUCCAUAUUAAUAUAUUUUAUUUUUCUACAUUAAUGUCUAUUGAAAUUAUAUUUUAAUAAAUGUAUUCAUGUUUGUUGAUUCACUAGUGUAAUGCCCUGCCAUGCAGCCUGUAUUUAUGUACUGUUAUCUUGUAGAAAUUUUCAAUUUGCUUGCUUCUCUGUCGUGCAUGCACGCACUUUGUGAAAGCCGUCUAUUAUCGCCCUUAGCUUCUUUUGUUGACGCGCAUAGAUAGACGCAACUCUACACUAAACACCCGUUCGCUCAACAUUAGUCAUCAUAGCACUGCAGUAUGCGAUUUUCUUUCGUCACCCAAACUACAAUUCAUAUGCGAGGACUCUUGAGGAAUUCCGUUUUAUGUCAUCAAAAAAAAAAAAAAAAGAUGAGUUUAAUAGGUCAUGACAUGUACUAUGCUGUGGUUUUCAGAAGUCUAGUAUUGCACUUGUCCCGGCCUACUGAACUCAACUAUGUACGUCUUUAAACCAUUCAUGUGCUUCUUCACGAAACCAUCAAGUCUUUUAGCAAUUCCGGUCUUCAGCAGCAAUGUUUCUAUAUUCUAGCUAUGCUUGCAAAAAUUCUUUGGCGAUGCAGUGAUAGUUGUGACGUACAGGUCGGGAUGCAUGUAAUGUUUGUGAUGAUUCUAGUAAUAUUGCACCCCUCCCGGCCUUCAUGUCACAGAGCACACUCAUCACAACACCACCACCCUUCGUUUCGUCUGGUGCUAAUUCUUAUGGUUUUCCUUAUGAAAAUAUAAUCUGAAUCGAGGAUCACCAGUAUAGUCGAAGUACAGUAGACGGAACUGCAAAUUCACUUACUGGAUGAACUGAAAGCAUUGGAUUUGCCAUCCACUGAAAAGUACUGCACCUCAACUAAGAAAAUGGAAUCGCCUCUGCUCUGUUUUAAAAGCAGAACUCAAUGCCGAGUACCGAUAGUCUCAAAUAACUGUUAAUGGUAUUGUCGUCAAAACAAUAGUGACGUUAAGGAAGUAUGCAAUGAUCUCUCCUUCCAUUCAUCACAUACUGUCCAGUUUUCUCUGAUCCGGAAGCAUUUCCACAAUACAGUGCAGACGAAUAAUCGAAGAUGGCCAAUCGACGUGCGAUAUAAAUAUUAAACAUGUAACUGCCAUUCUCAAGAUUUAAAUUAUAAUGUGUUGCAACAAAAAAAUAUCGUGUAGUAGGCCUACGGUUAAGAUCAACCACUUAUAUAUUCCAUAUACAAUUGAAAUACAAUUAAAACAUACAUUUUCAAUUUCCAUCUUUAUAAAUCAAGUCCAUGUUAUUAAAUACCGUAAUCUACUCAUGUUCCAUAAAAUUUAUCUGUAUUAACCAUUUUUCAACACAGUACCAUCCUUUUAGAUACUAAACUACGCUUAUAAUACUGUUCUCUCAUCUACUAUUAAACCAGUCGUAAACCUUAUUUUGUCCCUGCACUUCUCUUAUAAUUAAAAAGUCACGAGUUACAUUUUGUUUGUUAUAUUGAUGGGCAUAAUAUCCUUUCUGGCUUAAGAAUAACGUAAAAUAGUAUCGUAGUGUGCACCGUUUCUUUUACCUGAACACGUUGGUUAAUUGGUUUAAUGUGUAUAUUGAACUAGUCUUUGGUCAAUUACAAUGUUUACUAUCUGUAGUCUUUUAAUCAAUCAACGUUACGGACACUCUACUAUUAAAAUCGGUUUUAUUCAUUUUAUUGUAAAACGUUCAUGUUUGCCACAAUAUACUGUCCAACCUAUUGGCUGCAAAAAAUUCACUGAAGAUAGGUGCACGUCAACUACUGUACCAAAACGUUUUAGUUAUUCCAAUCAUGAAUCCCCCUUUCCAAUUGAAUAAGUUUUUGCAGAUUCAAAUACUAUAUGAAUGUUCUUGAUUAAUGCAACUCAGCCAUUUUAUUUUGAGUUAAAUUUGGUGGGGAAAAUACUUUCUAGUUCUAAUUUCAAUUGAUACCCUUCAAUGUUGUAUUUUAUUUCACUGUUGAAGAUAUACUCGCAUGCAUAUGUGGGCUGAAAAGACAUUUUGAAAGAUUACAAGUUAAGAAAAAUACAAAGAUCCUCGGAGAAAUCCUAAUAGACGAUUAGUGAACCACACUUCCUUAGCGUCGAUUAAUAAUAUUAACGGUGCUGGAACCAAUUAAACCAUGGUGUCAAGUUUAAUAAAGGAUAAGGAUAAUCGAAUUUUGAAAGCAACGCAUGUUAAAUCUCAUCAGACUUCAGAUACAAAUUACGAAUUUCACAAAAUAAUUAUUCUCGUCAUUGGUGCAUCAACAUGUUAAACCUAUUUUAGCUUCAUUAUUGUACAGUGUUUUAACUUUUAUUCCAAUAUAAAUUAACUAGACUGGAAGUUUUCGUCAAAACACUUGUGCCUUUUUUAGCUCCACUGUCUAGUUAUUCAGUCAAGAUUUGUAUAAAAACAUUAAAUAAAACACCAAGGCACUGAACGUCAAUAGUCUGUAGGCCUAGAGAACAUAGGUAAAUAUCCCGGGGAGAUUCUUGGUAGACCUAUACUUAAUAUAAUAAAACUUAAUAUUGCUUGCGGGUCUAUUCCACGGGCCAUUGCUAUUCAUUUCCAUACAGAUGCUUGAGGAUGUUUUUAUCACGUUUUCUUGGGAAACUGCAGCAUCGUCUUGAAAACCUCAAAUAUGACACUCUCGUUCAAUGUUGGUUGUCACUUUGGUAUUUGUAUAGUAAUGCGUGCAAUAUGUACUGGAACUCAGAAACUGCCGGUUUCAUUUGUCACGAUUCAUCGAAAUGUAUCCACGUAUCGGGGAGAUGAAUUGGUUUGCAGAAACUGGGUUAGUAAUUUCGAGAAUUGGUGUAAAGUAGAUAAUUUUCUUGAACUAAAUUCCUCUAAAAUUGAAAUUAGUACAUGGUUUUGGAACUCGACAAAAUCGUUCUAACAUUGAAUCUGAUCCGAUGUUUCAAGACAUCUAUAAUAAAUCUGUACUUUAAAAAAAUUAGGCGUUUUCCCAGCUUUAUAGAUAAUGAAAACAUAUAUAUUUUUAUAUUUCUUAUAUUUUACUAACUUUUGUAUAAUGAUUGUUAUUAA